ACGGGAGGCAGCAGUGAGGAAUCUUGCGCAAUGGGCGAAAGCCUGACGCAGCAACGCCGCGUGGAGGAUGAAGGUCUUCGGAUUGUAAACUCCUGUCAGACGGAACGAACGGUGCCGACCUAAUACGUCUGGCACCUUGACGGUACCGUCAGAGGAAGCCACGGCUAACUCUGUGCCAAGCGACCCGCGGUAAU
rnacentral:rRNA from 1 species